rnacentral:rRNA from 1 species
CCUACGGGUGGCAGCAGUGGGGAAUAUUGCACAAUGGGCGCAAGCCUGAUGCAGCGACGCCGCGUGAGGGAUGACGGCCUUCGGGUUGUAAACCUCUUUCAGUAGGGACGAAGCGAAAGUGACGGUACCUGCAGAAGAAGCACCGGCCAACUACGUGCCAGCAGCCGCGGUAAUACGUAGGGUGCGAGCGUUGUCCGGAAUUACUGGGCGUAAAGAGCUUGUAGGCGGUUUGUCGCGUCGUCCGUGAAAACCAGUGGCUUAACCAUUGGCUUGCGGGCGAUACGGGCAGACUUGAGUAUUUCAGGGGAGACUGGAAUUCCUGGUGUAGCGGUGAAAUGCGCAGAUAUCAGGAGGAACACCGGUGGCGAAGGCGGGUCUCUGGGAAAUAACUGACGCUGAGAAGCGAAAGCGUGGGUAGCGAACAGGAUUAGAUACCCUGG